CCUCAGUGGUGGGUUUGGGGGUUUUCUGUUUGUUUUUUCUUUUUCCUUCUAAGAACAGUUCAUUUCAUCGUGAAUGGUGUUGAGCAACCUCCCCCUCCCCCUGCCCUGGCCUCAGGGAGUGACAUUUGAGGUGCUGUCUCCAGGGGCCACAGAGGAUGCUGCUUGGGCUGUUCAAAGGGUUGGCUCUUCUCCCUGCCUGGCCCCACCCACUUCCCUUCAGGGCCUCCCUGACGUGCCAAGCCUGGGCAGCCUCCCAUCAAGGACUGAGGUCCUGCCCCUGUGGCCUGAGCGGAGGGCCUCGUGCACCUCCCAGCCUCCCCCCUCUGCUAUCCACCUUAGAUGGUGGGCGGGGGACCGAACCCUUCCCUCCUCAUGGCACCUGGCCGCAGAAGAGACCGGGCUGAGGCUGACGUGGAACGGCAUGUGUCUCUGGUCAUCCCUGCUCCGCUGACUCCAUGGCCCCUACCAUGUGCCACUGACCACAGGGCGGCACUGAGAAGGGCGGCCAGAGGGAAUGCUAGGUGGCGGCGGAGGAGGAAGGUGGGGGGAGGACAGGCUUCGGCUCCCAGGAGGCAGCCCUCCAGGUUGGGGUUAGGGCAGCAGCAAGGAAGGAGCUGGGGCCUCCGAGGGAGCUGGGUCCCCGGGGAAAAUUGGCUGGACAGGGAGGCGGGGAGAAGGCCGGCAGGGCAGCCCAGUCUGAGCCUGGGAGAGCCUGGGAACCCAAAGGCCCAUCACAGAGGCUUGGAGGCAGAUAGGCCUGCAUGAGACAGAACUUAGAAACACAUGCCUGAGCCAGCAGAAGACUGGACUUGGGGACUGCACCCCAAGAAUGCAGACUCCAGAGAGCAUUUGCUGGGAGGUAAACGGAGACCUCUGUCCAGCAAGUCAAGAAACUAGGCCAAGCACCUUGAGGCUAACGGCCACGUGACUGAGGGUCCCCAUUUACCCGCCCUGGUGGCUUCUGGCAAGAGGCCUACACCACCUUCCCUUCCAGGAUAUGCCAGCCUGCAGGCUGCAGUGCCGAGAAGGAGACCAGGCGGUGGUGAUGUCAACCAGGGAAUUAAGUAAGCAGAGGGGCCGAUAACAUCACCCCGAAAGGCUUGCUGUGGGCAAGGUGACUCAUCGGAGACAGGCCCCACAAUCACAGGGUGAUCGUUUUUGUGCCCGGUCUGAAGGACUGGAGAGGAAGGAGGAGGCCAGGACAGGUUCUUCACCGCGUCCUCUGCUCAGUGAAGUCUCAGAACACAGUGUCCUCCGCUUCCAAAGUUCACUGCUGGCUCAGGAAACAGCCCUCCCCGCUGCGCUGCUGUGAUCAUCUCUGUCCACAGCAUUUGGUGUGUGGGGGGUGUGUUGGGGUGAUUUCCCCACCCGCAUCCCUCCAGGUACUAGAGAUUGCUUACAGCAGAACAGUUGCUCCCCUCGCCUCCCUGGCUGGAUGACCUUCUGCAGAGACAAUGCCACCGGAUGGCAAACUGCUAACCACGACCAGACCACGUGGUGUCCUCAUGGUGGGUACAGCCUGUUCCUCCUGCUGCAGGCACCUGUAGAGCUGCCUCGAUUCAUCACUCCCUCACACCCUUGGGUCUGCUGAGGGGGUCAAAACUGCUGUGUUCUUCCCACCCCCAGGGUGGUCAUGUAUGGUUGUCCAAGUUGAGAACUGAACAAGUGGGGGGGCUUACCACUUUACAGUCUGUGUGCCAGACCUCAUGUCUGUACAUGCUGGCCCCGCCCCUUCUCUUUUCUAAAUUACUUCUCACUCCCCUCUUCCACCUAGAAUUAUCUAUUUAGUUUGCCCUUAAUAAGUUCACCUUCACACCAAACUUUCCCCCAUAAAGCAUAAGUUUCUUUCUUGACCAUCUGACUCCAUUCAUUCAUUCAUUCCACACAAAAAUUGUUGAGUUUGUGCCAGGUACAAGAUAGAUCUGCCCCGAGCUCAUGGAGCUCACAUUCUAACUGGGGUAGGGGUGAGGGAACAAGAAAUAAAUAACAUGAUGCAUAAAACUUCAAGGGACAGUAAGUGCCAUGAAGAAAAAUAAAGCCAGGCCAGGAGGUGGAGGAUGAUAGAACCCUACUUCAGCUAGGACUAGCCAGAAAGACUUCUCUGAGGAGUUGGCCUCUGAGUGGAGAGCUGGAGGCGGUGAAGGAAGAAGGCUUCCUGGCAGAGCCCCUCCUGCCAGGCACCCAAUGCCAGAAGAAAGUUCCCUAAUCCUGCCUGGUUCUGACAGCGGCCUUCGGCACCGCCUAGGGCACUCACUUCCCAGCACUGGGUGUCCAUUUCCUCCUUGACAAACAAGAGGCCUAGCUGCACUGACUCUCCAAGGGCUCCUCCAGCAUGAAGUCACUCACCUGUAGGCAUAACAAACUUCAUGACAGGAGCCUGCCUUGGAAGGCCAGCUGGGUCACCUACAAGCUGUGUGACCUCAAGCAGUUUACUUAGCCUCUCUGAGCUGUUUCCCUUAUCCUUAAACUAUUCACUUCAGGCUAUUGUGAAGGAUUAAAUGAGCUCAUGGAUACGAAACCACCUUGUAUAUAGUGGGUGCUUAAUAGAUACCUUCCAGGGCCACACCUGAGAGAUGGGAGGCGGUGUGGGGAAGUAAAGAGGUGCUGUUGACUGGGUGCCUUUCAUUAAAGGAACCUGGAGAGGGCAAUGCGGACACAGACACAAGGCUCUGCUGGCCGCCCCGCUGUGUGGAGAGUAGCUGUGGGAGCCCCUGGGCUGGGACCCCACCUCACAGAGCCAGGGGCUCACGGCGUUGGGGGGGGCAGGCAGGGUCAUGCACUCCCCAUUGACGUCAGUCAGCAGGCGAGGGAGGGCAGGGUGGGGAGCUGUGGUGUGGUGCGGUCCCUUGAACUGUCAUACCGCCAGGGCCAGCUUUCAACUUCCUCUGGGGCCCAGGGUGUGCUCAGCUGGUCCUCUCUUCCUUCCUCCUUCAUUCGAGCUCUGUUUGGGGUGAGCACUGUCUACCCUCAAGCUUCAGUCAUCACGCCCCCUUGUCAGUUCCCAGGACUCCCAGUUCUUUCCAGUCCCCCAUCAGCAAGAGCUGUAUCUCGAGGCCUGCCAUGAGUCUGGGUUCCUGGACACCGCUGGGAGCCCUGGAGCAGCAAGCAGGACCCGCCAGCCUUGGGGUGCAGGCAGUCAUGGGAGGUGGCCAUGACUGGCUGCCAGGGCCGUACACUUUUCAUCCAUGACCUCCCCUGACAUUAAUCCUGUGAUGUAGGAACCUUUAUUCCCUCUCCUACUUGAGGAGCCUGAGGCCCUGGGAAGUAGGAACUGUGCGUGCUCAGGAAGCAGGGUCGACAGGCAUUCCUACUGCGGGAGAUGGCCCGAGGGGUGCCUUGCAAGGCCCGGGGGCGUGGAGAACGGGGAGGCUGCGGGGGACAAGCCUGAGGCUGGGAGAUUGGGGGAUUCCUGUCUUACAGGUGGCUGCAGGCUGAGGUGUGAGCCCCUGCCCCAGGCCCACCUGCUGCCUGGCCCUCUUGAGUCUCCAACAAGCUCCUGGUGGGUCUGGAACCUGCUGGCUCGGUCUGGGAGGCCAGCCGUGGGCCGCAAGCCCCAACCCAGGCCAUUUCUCAGGUCCUCCUGGCUCUGAGGCAGGAAACCAUCAUAGCAACAGCUCACAUUUACUGACAACCUCCCUGCGCAGCACGUGCUGGGCUAAGCACUUGGCAUAUAUGAACCUAUUUCUUCUUUACAACAGCUCUGCCAGGGAGGAAACUGGGUCACAGAGAGGUGAAGUGACUUGCCUAAGGUCAUGCAGGGCUGACAUUCAACCCAGGAGGCCUGGUUCCGGGGGCCACACUCAUCUCCCCUCCAAGCGGGGAUUCCUGGAGCAGCGAAGGCACGGGCACAGGGGGUCAGGCUGGACCUGGCAGGCACCUGGGGCGCGGCGGGGGGGGGGGGGUUGCGUGGCAGUCCAGCCAGCCACCAUGGGCGCCAUGGAGCGCAGGAGCGACAUCCCACCAAGGGCUGAAUGCAGGCCCCCUCCUCCGGGGAUGUGGUUUUGACAGGAGAAGGCAAAAGAGGGCACUGCUUCCCCCAGAGGAAAGAACUGGCGAAUGUAGCUAUGUGGCCACGCUGGGUGGGCAUGAAGCACUGAAGGUGGCAGCUCCAGUGCAGGGGAGGGAGCUCCCAGCCUCUUUCUCUGCCCCCUCUCCCCAGCUGCGGCGGGGCCUGGUACAGACAGGGGCACAGCUCCUGUGCUGAGACCUAAGAGCAGCAUGUCUGCUGGGCCACCCGGCUGUCUGUCUGUGUGUGCGUAACUGCGUGUGCAUGGGCGUAUAAGAAGGGGAGGCCAAGGGGCCUCUGCGUGCACUUGUUUGCAGGGGAGCCCGUCCGCCACCCCCACCUGCCUCUGCAGCCGCAGAAAACAGGACACUCUGUCUCUAAUCUGCACCUCUGGGGCCUCAAAACCACAGCCACGUCAGCAGGUGGUGGGUGGUGGGGCCACAGAGGCCGGGUGCGCAGGUGUAUGCCAACAUGCAUGUGCGGGGCCAGCACGGGGGGUGUGGCUCCCUGGCCCGGUGUCCGCCCCCCCCCCCCAGGAAGGCGGAUGGGGUAGAGGGAGCCGGACCUCCCCCGCCAGGUGGGCACAGAGUCCAGCCCUCUGACCACAGGCCAGGGGAAGGAACAGCCAUUUCUCCCACAGGUUCUCUCUUCUCUCAGCAGCCGUGCCAACAACCACAACAAAUGUCUCUGGAGCAGCUCAAAUGGCCCCACACGGUUCCAGGCACCUGGGAAAUAUUGGGGAGUGCCAGAGAGAUCCCUGCCCUCCUGGGGCCAACGCUCUCAGAGGGACGACACAGUAGACAGAACACACUCUGUUGUAUCCUGCUGCCUGGAGAGUCUCCUGGCCACCCUCAGGGAGGAAGGAAGCCCGGGGUGCAACCACUUUCUGGCCCACCUGCCUCAGCCUGCUGGAGGCCACCAGACCCGCCUGCCAGACCCUUCUGAGAUCAGAAGCCUGAGGAGGAGAGAAGUUUUGACCAAUGGUUGUUGAAUAUUGCCCUCAAAGAUGGCCACCAACAGUUCCUCUCAUUGCUGUAUCAAAUGCUUCCUUCAAGACUUGGAGUCUGGGGGUGCCUGAUUGGCAGGCUCAGUCGGUGGAACAUGUGACUCUGGAUCUCACUGCUGUGCGUUUGAGCUCCAGGCCGGGAGUAGACAUUACUUAAA